CUUCUUCUUCCUUUCUUCUCACUAAAACCAUAAGUAGCAAAGUGCUACUCCUCUUGCUUUUCUUUUAAAGAUCAUUCAAGUCUUUGGUGGUUCAAAGUGCUUCUCCUUUAGUGCUUAUUUGAGCUAAGUACUAAAAGGCUUAAGAAGUACUUUAGACAAGAAGGAACUAGCGUUCCAAGUGCCUUAAUCUUGAUGGUGGAUACUUGUAGAGAAGAUCAUGUUCUUUGAUCUUUACAUCUUCAUCAACACCCCAAAACCAAGUGGGAUCAAAGGCUUCAAAGGUUAUCUCUAAAACAUCUUAUGGUUGUUUUUAAUAUCAUUCUAACCUCUAUAAAUGGAUCCAUGAUGGUUUGGUUUUGUUAUGAACUAAAAAUAAACUUGUUAUUUUUAAAGUCUUCCGUUGCCGGGUUUUAUGAAAAACAAACUUAUAUUUCGUAUCAAAACCCAAAAGUGGUAUCAGAGCCAUCUUUUAUAUGUUAGAAUGAUUUUUUUAUGUUUGAUAAUCUUUGGUUUUUGGAAAACAAGCAUGGAUUUCUUUUUAUUAAGAAAAAUCCAUAUUUGUUUUCUUUGGCAACUUUUUGGUUAAAAUUGUUUGUUUUUAUAUAUAACAAUUUUUCAUGCAUUUUGGUUAUAUAAAAGUUGCCUUAGAAAAAACAAAGAAUUGUUGGUUGUAAUAUUUGAUAUGCUCUUGUAUAUAAACAAGUCAUUUGGACAUUUGUGUUGUGUUUGGUUGAUAUUUAUUUAUUCAUAAUAUAGCCACAUUUUUUUCAUAUCAUAUGGACACUACAUUCUAAAGUGACCAUAAGACCCAUACGAUGGUGUCACCUUCUAUCACACUUAUAGUGAAAAAAUAAAAUAUCACUAUAUGCAUAUGGUCACACUUUUAUGGUGUGUCCGUAAGUCAUAUUUGUAUUAGUGUAAGAUGUAAUAGAUAAAUAUGUAUUUUUUCAUUUGUUGAUUUGUUGUAAUAAAUUAGUUAGACUAGUAGUAUUUCUUUUUACAUGUAACAAGAUGAAGAAAUGGCCUCCUUGAAGAUGACUUAGGUGCUGUUUGUUUUUCUGAAGCCAAAAUGUCUGCAGUCUGUGGACCAUAUCUGCAAGCCUCUACAGUAGGAGAGGUGAACCAAAUGUCUGCACUCUACAAUAAGAAGUCUGUUUGUUUUUUAACGUCUGCAGGUAUUUAAAUAAACUGAUUUUUCAAACUUAAUUUCAUGUCAUAAACAUUAAAAAAAACCAUUUCAACAAAAAAUAUAGGUGGCGUAGAAAGGAAAAAAGGAUAGGCGACUUUUUUUUGUUUAGAUUAAAAUGAGACGUGAAGACCUUUGAAGACAGUGACCAAUGUCUGCGCCAGGAAGAGCUCGUGCAGAUGUUUUUUGAUUUGCAUACUUCCAAAAAACAAACACUCUGCGAGAGCAUAUGUCUGCGCGUUCUCUGUACGGUGCAGACAAAAGUGGUUGUGCAGAUCUACACAAAAAAAAAACAAAUAACCCCUUACCCAUUUAAGACCAUAAUCCCAACCACAAGCUUCUACUUUUGGUUUUUGGCUUAAUUAUAGUCUUAAUGGUUUAAGUGUUGCAACUUUCACAACAUGAAGAUUUGAAGUCCUUUUGCAAACACGAGUUGACUUGGCAAGUGGGAGCUUGAAGACCUUUUGAAGUGUCUCUUAUGUCCUUUAGGAAAUACUUAAUAAUUCUUGUGAUGGCUCACAAAAAUUAUUAUUAGACAUGGCUUGGUUUAUACACAUUAAAAUGCAUGUUUGUGAUGUUUAUUUUAUAUUAAACAUAUGUUAUGUUUUAUGUAUAAAAAUGGUUUUUACAUGUCAAAUAACAUUUUUUCAUAAGAUAAUAUCACUUGAAGUUUAAGUAAAAAAUAUUUAAAAGAUAACAUAAAAUGUUUAGAAAUAGAUAUUUAUAAAAACAUUUGAUCGGUUACCGGUUAAAACUCAAUUUUUUGUUGAAAAUAGUUUUAUUGUACAACUUAUAAAUACCAAAAUUUAAAAUAUUUGAAAUAGUUUAAAUGAUUUUUAAACUUUAUAUAACUACGGAGUCGUUUGUUUUUUUUAAAAGCUCUGCAGCACCACUUUUGUCUGCAUCCCGCAGAUAACGCGCAGACUUUUAUCCCCGCAGACUGUUUGUUUUUUUCGAAGGGCUAAGAUCUAAAAACAUAUGCGCGAUGUCUUCACCACACAGAUAUGGACUACCCACUUCUCACAUAUGCGGGCUUUUAACCUAAAAAACGCAGCUACUUCUUCUUGUCGACGCCUUCAAAGAACUCAUCUUCACCAUUGACGCCUUAACCCUCGCUCCACCACCGAUCUCCCUGCCAGCGCUCUCCACCGACCAGGACGCCGACCAGAACGCCGGACAGCGCUGCGCUUCUUCUUCCUCUUAGCUGUCGGACUUCACAGCUUUUGAAGGGGCAUCCGAAGGCUGAUUCAUUGAAAACAAUUCCACUGCCUUUUCCAGAUCUUUGUGCAUUUCUUUUUGAUGGAAAUAGUGCUACUAGUAAUUUUAGGAGUUACUCAACCCAAUCCUCAUCAGUAGUUGGAGCAUCCUCUUAUAGUGCUCCACCACUUCAGAUUACCGCCACUCCUUUUCUUGCAAUAGAUGAUAAUGGUGAUGACAUGUCCCAUCAUGCUUGUGAGCCACCACCUUCUGCUACUUCACCUUCUGCUGCUUCACCAUCCGGUAACCCCAAGAAAAGGGCUAGACCCUCAACUCCUACAGCUCCUAGUGCCUCACCGUCUGCUUCUUCUCCUUAUGGAACUUCUAUUACUGCUGACGAUUUAGCAUUUGAAAUGAAAAAUGCUCUACAAAGUUUGACUAAAUGGUAUACAAUUCCUCAAUGUUUAGAGAAGUUAGAGGUGCUUCAGUUAGGCCCUACAGAUCCUUUACGGUUUGUUGCAUAUCAUAUUUUUGGAGCGACCAUGAAAAUGAGAGAGAUGUGAAUGCAUUUGCCCGAUGUUCCCGAGAUAUUACGAGGAUGGCUUGAGAUGACGGGUACAAGUUUAGGAGUUUUGAAGGACGGAAAGAUUGUUCGUUGAUUUUUCUUGUGUUGAAACUAUUUUGUUAGUUUUUUUUCUUUUGUUGGAACUAUUUUGUUAGGUCUUUUUGCCGUUGUUGGAACUAUUUUUUGUUAUUUUGCUACUUGGAAUAUGGUUUAUCUAAUGUUUUGUGCUAAUUGAAAUAUGAGUAAUGUAAUGUUUAUUUGCUACUUGAAAUA